rnacentral:lncRNA from 1 species
AUUAAGAUACCCCACCACCCCGUGGUGAUCAUCUUGGCCCGACUACUCGUCGCCGCUGUUCAGGCCACACAACCACCCAUAGUCGUACCACACACCAGCCAGAUACCACCGUAACCACUUCCAUACUUUGAUUUGUAUUAGCCAUAGUCGUAAAACGCCAUUGCCUAUGGGAAUCUCGCCACCGUACAACCCCGGUUUAAGUCACGACUCGCCGCCAAGAACAGGAGACUUUCGUCGCUACGGUUUGAAUACCGCAGACAACCCGACAACUCCGAGCCACCACGACACCGAUUGACUUUCACUAUCAUAGUCGGGCCCGUUGCCUCACGAUCUUGUAGCACGUAUUCAGUUAACAACGGAAAGGGUGCACAUGAUUUCAUCUAUGAAGCUGCUGCAAAAUUCUAUGUUGAAAUAGCAACUGAUCAACACAGAUGUUGUGUAUUACAAAGAUGCAUCAAUCACUCGACUGGCGAGUACCAUGAAAAAUUAAUCUCGGAGAUAUCAAAAACUCGCAUCCUUCUUGCAGAAGAUGCAUACGGGUAAGUGUUGAGGAAAAAUACGCAAAUGGGUGGUAGAAUGACAUGUCAAAAGGGUAGUAUUGUUGACGAAACUAUAGAAAACGCCUUUUGUAGAAAAAAUUUAUAAAUAAGAAGUGGGUUACAUACGAUUACA